AACGAACGCUGGCGGCAGGCUUAACACAUGCAAGUCGAGCGCCCCGCAAGGGGAGCGGCAGACGGGUGAGUAACGCGUGGGAAUCUACCCAUCACUACGGAACAACUCCGGGAAACUGGAGCUAAUACCGUAUACGUCCUUCGGGAGAAAGAUUUAUCGGUGAUGGAUGAGCCCGCGUUGGAUUGGCUAGUUGGUGGGGUAAUGGCCCACCAAGGCGACGAUCCAUAGCUGGUCUGAGAGGAUGAUCAGCCACACUGGGACUGAGACACGGCCCAGACUCCUACGGGAGGCAGCAGUGGGGAGUAUUGGACAAUGGGCGCAAGCCUGAUCCAGCCAUGCCGCGUGAGUGAUGAAGGCCCUAGGGUUGUAAAGCUCUUUCACCGGUGAAGAUAAUGACGGUAACCGGAGAAGAAGCCCCGGCUAACUUCGUGCCAGCCGCCGCAGUAA
rnacentral:rRNA from 1 species